rnacentral:lncRNA from 1 species
UCGUCCAUAUUAUUACAAAUCUCCACCACCGCCUUCUCCAUCUCCUCGGACACCUUAUUACCGUAAAUCACCACCACCACCACCAAUUCGUUCUCCUCGUCCCUAUUAUUACAAAUCUCCACCACCACCUUCUCCAUCUCCUCGAACACCUUAUUACCGUAAAUCACCACCACCACCGCCACUAAUUCGUUCUCCUCAUCCAUAUUAUUAUAAAUCUCCACCACCGCCUUCUCCAUCUCCCCCGCCACCUUAUUUCCCUAAAUCACCACCACCACCAAUCCAUUCUCCUCAUCCAUAUAAGUCUCCACCACCACCUUCUCCAUCUCCACCUCCACCUUAUUACACUACAUCACCACCACUACCAAUCAUUUCUCCUCCACCGCCAUAUUAUCACAAAUCUCCACCACCGCCUUCUCCAUCUGCACCGCCUCCAUCUCCAUCUUCAUUGCCGUCACCUUCGAUUACACCUAUCGCUGAACCAUUUCCAUCUCCGAUGGUGCCACCACCAUUGACUACACCUAUUUCUGAACCAUCUCCAUCUCCAUCUCCAUCUCCAUCUCCAUCUCCAUCUCCAUCUCCAUCUCCAUCCCUGCUAGCACCGUCGAUUACACCUAUCGCUGAACCAUUCCCAUCUCCAUUUCCGCUAGCACCAUCGACAACCCCUAUUGUUGAACCCUUUCCAUCUCCAUUGCCGCCAAUUGCUGAACCAUUUCCGUCACUAUCGCCUUCACCAUCACCAAUUACACCUAUCGCUGAACCAUUCCCAUCUCCAUUUUCUCUAGCACCAUCGACAACCCCUAUUGUUGAACCCUUUCCAUCUCCAUUGCCACCAAUUGCUGAACCAUUUCCAUCACUAUCGCCUCUACCAUCACCAAUUACACCUAUCGCUGAACCAUUCCCAUCUCCAUUUCCGCUAGCACCAUCGACAACCCCUAUUGUUGAACCCUUUCCAUCUCCAUUGCCACCAAUUGCUGGACCAUUUCCAUCGCUAUCGC